rnacentral:rRNA from 1 species
GACGAACGCUGGCGGCGUGCUUAACACAUGCAAGUCGAACGGUGAAGGGGCCUGCUUUUGUGGGCCCUGGAUGAGUGGCGAACGGGUGAGUAACACGUGAGUAACCUUCCCCCUUCUUCUGGAUAACCGCAUGAAAGUGUGGCUAAUACGGGAUAUUCUGGGUCUGUCGCAUGAUGGGUCUGGGAAAGAUUGCGCCUUUGGGUGUUUUUGGUGGGGGAUGGGCUCGCGGCCUAUCAGCUUGUUGGUGGGGUGUUGGCCUACCAAGGCGGUGACGGGUAGCCGGCCUGAGAGGGUGGACGGUCACACUGGGACUGAGACACGGCCCAGACUCCUACGGGAGGCAGCAGUGGGGAAUAUUGCACAAUGGGCGCAAGCCUGAUGCAGCGACGCCGCGUGAGGGAUGGAGGCCUUCGGGUUGUAAACCUCUUUCGCCAGUGAAGCAGGCCUGCUCCUUGUGGGUCGGUUGACGGUAGCUGGAUAAGAAGCGCCGGCUAACUACGUG